CAUUGCCCCUUUUAUUGCCUUCCUCCCUUGUAAAAGACAGAUUUUUCCAUACAGUAGUAAAUCAAUUGAAGCAAAACAUUGAAACAUGCACUAUAAUUGCAAUGGCAAACUAAAUUGAUAUCGAGUCUUGACAAGCCCAUUGCGAAAUCAUGAAACUGAAACACACAAGACUCAACUUUUGCACUGGAGGAAAGCUGACAUCUUUAUUUUCAAACUUGCAGCACCCAUAAGAUGUCUGUUUUAUUUGAUAUCCUCUAGAGCUACACAUGGACAUAAUGAAUUACAUGAAAACAAAUGUCUAAAGAGCAUCCUUUGAUAAAAACUCGUUACUUCUAACCUUUCGAGCAUUGCAUAGCUCAUCGACACAAUCUCCUCGUUCAAAAACAGCAGCAGCCCCCAUACCUGUGCCUAUGCACAUUGAGAUUACUCCAAAGCGGCAGUCCUUCCCACGACGCUUCAUUUCAUACAGAAGAGUUGCAACACAGCGGGCACCUGUAGCACCCAAAGGAUGCCCAAGAGCAAUUGCACCACCAUUGACAUUGACUUUUUCUGGAUCAAGCUCCAGUUUCUUACAACAAUAAACAUACUGGGAUGCAAAUGCCUCAUUAAUUUCAAAUAGGUCAAUAUCAUCAAUUUCUAGUCCAGCAGCUUUCACUGCAGCUGGAAUUGCAAAAGCUGGGCCUACUCCCAUAACAGCAGGAUCCACACCAAUAGCGGCAAAACUCCUGCCAGAAAAGCAAGUGAUUGAUAGAUCAAGGCAUGUAGGUUUGUUUCCCAAUUUCAACCGUAAAAUAAUUCCCACCCCCCUCCUCUUCCACAAAACCCCUUUCUCAAACCCCAAAUGAUACAUAAUGCGAAGUUGACAAUCAUAUCUCUAUCCACAGAGGUCUAAAUGACACUGAAGGCAAACCAUUGCCUCAAGAAAAAACAGUAAAAUAAAAUGAUAAUACAGAAAUUUUCUUAGAAUGUUCUACAUAUUGUUGGUAUACUGGGAUCAAUAAAAACAGAUUGUAUGAUCAAUCCCUUAUAUCUCUCUUUUUUGUUUAUUGUGGCCAAAGAACACUUCAGAAAUACCCACAGAGUGUGCUAAUAAUCAUAAUGUGAUGAAAAGGAUGUGAAACAAAAUAUAGUUAAUAAGAAGGAAAGGUAUGGUAUUAACAAGUCACCCUGAUUACUUAGUUCAAGGUUUAGAAUCAAGUGUACUACAAUUGCAAGCAUCAAAUGAGCCAUAUUUGGCAUUUGCUAAGGGAAAUAUUCCUCUGUGAAAACAAAAUUAAGCACCUGAACACACCAAGAAUUGGAAGUCCCUUCUGCACAGCCACACUUCUUUUAGUAAGAAGGACUGCACCAGCACCAUCACUGACCUGGCUAGCAUUACCAGCAGUUGUGGACCCAUCCUUUUUGAAUGCAGGCUUCAGCUUCGCCAGAUCUGCCAUGUUUGUGUUUGGUCGAAUUCCAUCAUCCACUGAAAUUGUGACAGACUUCUCUUCACCAGUUUUUGGGUCUAUGAUCUUUGUAGAAACUGGGAUGAUUUCAUCUUUGAAUUUUCCAGAUAGAGUCGCUGCAGCAGCUUUCCUAUGAGAUUCAACUGCAGCCUGGUCUUGCUCUUGCCGUGUAACACCAUAGCGCUGUGCAACAUUUUCAGAAGUGAUACCCAUAGGAAGAAGACAAUCUCGAGCUUGUACAAAGGCAUCUACUCUUGGGUUAACUUGGGAAACUCUGCCAAUGGAAUCCACCGUCAUGCACUCCAACCCAGCCCCAAUGCCAAUGUCAUAAAAUCCAGCUUUUAUGGAAGCAGCAACAUCAGCAACUGCCUGCAGGCCAGACGAGCAUUGCCUGUUGACUGUUCUGAUGGGCACCGUUUCAGGAAAACCAGCAUAGAAAGCCGCCAUCCUGCACUCAGUUGCCCUUUGUGAACCAGGAGCAAGAACUGUACCAACAACUAUGUCCCCUACCUCACUUGGAUUCACAUUUGUUUUCUCUAUCAGUGCCUUCAAAACUGAGCCAAGUAGACCAUCGGGAUGGGUAUCCUUGAAACCACCUCGCUUGGAUUUGCAAAUGGCAGUGCGGUAAGCACCCACUAUCACCACAUCAUCACCAAAAGCAGCUGUCCGGUGAUAUGCAGCGUUAUCUCCAGCCGCACAAACUGAAGUAGAAAAACAAGCUGACUCAUGGGACUGCGAAAGAGCAGAAGAAGAAGAAGUGGGUUGCAAAUGACCAAGAAGAACUUUCUGUCUGUUUACUGCUUUCUCCAUUUUUCUCCCUCCCUAUCUCUCUGUGAGAAUGGGUACUGUCUGAAAUUAUUGUAGUUUUGAUUUGAGAUAGAUAGCUAUAUAUAAAUACCAAGCUUUAUUUGUAUUGGAAGAAUUCAGGUGUACCCAAUUACCAAAUGAAGAGGAACCUCCUCCAGAACCACGAGUAGUGGAAAUUUCUUGGAUA
rnacentral:misc_RNA from 1 species